GCGCCCGCAGCUCAGUUGGAUAGAGCACCCGCCUUCUAAGCGGGUUGUCGCGAGUUCGACUCUCGCCGGGCGCG
rnacentral:tRNA from 1 species